rnacentral:rRNA from 1 species
UACGGAGGGUGCAAGCGUUGCUCGGAAUUAUUGGGCGUAAAGGGUAGGUAGGUGGUCUCAUUUGUCUGGGGUGAAAUCCUUGAGCUUAACUCAAGAAGUGCCCCAGAAACGGUGAGACUAGAGUUCUGGAGAGGGUCGUGGAAUUCCCGGUGUAGCGGUGAAAUGCGUAGAGAUCGGGAGGAACACCAGAGGCGAAAGCGGCGGCCUAGACAGAUACUGACACUCAACUACGAAAGCGUGGGGAGCAAACAGG